rnacentral:rRNA from 1 species
UACGUAGGGGGCGAGCGUUGUCCGGAAUCAUUGGGCGUAAAGAGCGUGUAGGCGGCUUGGCAAGUCUGACGUGAAAGCCCGCGGCUCAACCGCGGAUUGUCGUUGGAAACUGCCUCGCUAGAGUCCGGAAGAGGAGAGCGGAAUUCCUGGUGUAGCGGUGGAAUGCGCAGAUAUCAGGAAGAACACCCGUGGCGAAGGCGGCUCUCUGGGACGGUACUUACGCUGAGACGCGAAAGCGUGGGGAGCGAACAGG